rnacentral:rRNA from 1 species
GUGGGGAAUAUUGGACAAUGGGCGAAAGCCUGAUCCAGCAAUGCCGCGUGAGUGAAGAAGGCCUUCGGGUUGUAAAGCUCUUUUACCCGGGAAGAUAAUGACUGUACCGGGAGAAUAAGCCCCGGCUAACUCCGUGCCAGCAGCCGCGGUAAUACGGAGGGGGCUAGCGUUGUUCGGAAUUACUGGGCGUAAAGCGCACGUAGGCGGUCUUUUAAGUCAGAGGUGAAAGCCCGGGGCUCAACUCCGGAAUUGCCUUUGAAACUGGAAGACUUGAACACGGGAGAGGUGAGUGGAAUUCCGAGUGUAGAGGUGAAAUUCGUAGAUAUUCGGAGGAACACCAGUGGCGAAGGCGGCUCACUGGACCGUUGUUGACGCUGAGGUGCGAAAGCGUGGGGAGCAAACAGGAUUAGAAACCCCGGUAGUCC